rnacentral:rRNA from 1 species
CCUACGGGAGGCAGCAGUGGGGAAUUUUGGACAAUGGGGGCAACCCUGAUCCAGCCAUGCCGCGUGCAGGAUGAAGGCCUUCGGGUUGUAAACUGCUUUUGUCAGGGACGAAAAGGACCGUGUUAAUACCAUGGUCUGCUGACGGUACCUGAAGAAUAAGCACCGGCUAACUACGUGCCAGCAGCCGCGGUAAUACGUAGGGUGCAAGCGUUAAUCGGAAUUACUGGGCGUAAAGCGUGCGCAGGCGGUUCUGUAAGACAGAUGUGAAAUCCCCGGGCUCAACCUGGGAAUUGCAUUUGUGACUGCAGGACUAGAGUUCAUCAGAGGGGGGUGGAAUUCCAAGUGUAGCAGUGAAAUGCGUAGAUAUUUGGAAGAACACCAAUGGCGAAGGCAGCCCCCUGGGAUGCGACUGACGCUCAUGCACGAAAGCGUGGGGAGC